GACGAACGCUGGCGGCGUGCUUAACACAUGCAAGUCGAACGGAAAGGCCCUGCUUUUGUGGGGUGCUCGAGUGGCGAACGGGUGAGUAACACGUGAGUAACCUGCCCUUGACUUUGGGAUAACUUCAGGAAACUGGGGCUAAUACCGGAUAGGAGCUCCUGCUGCAUGGUGGGGGUUGGAAAGUUUCGGCGGUUGGGGAUGGACUCGCGGCUUAUCAGCUUGUUAGUGGGGUAGUGGCUUACCAAGGCUUUGACGGGUAGCCGGCCUGAGAGGGUGACCGGCCACAUUGGGACUGAGAUACGGCCCAGACUCCUACGGGAGGCAGCAGUGGGGAAUAUUGCACAAUGGGCGGAAGCCUGAUGCAGCAACGCCGCGUGCGGGAUGACGGCCUUCGGGUUGUAAACCGCUUUCGCCUGUGACGAAGCGUGGGUGACGGUAAUGGGUAAAGAAGCACCGGCUAACUACGUG
rnacentral:rRNA from 1 species